AUGAACGCUGGCGGCGUGCCUAAUACAUGCAAGUCGCGCGAACGGACGAGAAGCUUGCUUCUCUGAUGUUAGCGGCGGACGGGUGAGUAACACGUGGAUAACCUACCUAUAAGACUGGGAUAACUUCGGGAAACCGGAGCUAAUACCGGAUAAUAUUUUGAACCGCAUGGUUCAAAAGUGAAAGACGGUCUUGCUGUCACUUAUAGAUGGAUCCGCGCUGCAUUAGCUAGUUGGUAAGGUAACGGCUUACCAAGGCAACGAUGCAUAGCCGACCUGAGAGGGUGAUCGGCCACACUGGAACUGAGACACGGUCCAGACUCCUACGGGAGGCAGCAGUAGGGAAUCUUCCGCAAUGGGCGAAAGCCUGACGGAGCAACGCCGCGUGAGUGAUGAAGGUCUUCGGAUCGUAAAACUCUGUUAUUAGGGAAGAACAUAUGUGUAAGUAACUGUGCACAUCUUGACGGUACCUAAUCAGAAAGCCACGGCUAACUACGU
rnacentral:rRNA from 1 species